UUUUUAAGUAGAUCAAUAGUUACCGUUCCGGUUGGAAGGUAACAGCGCUUCAUGCCGGCCACAUGACCUUGGAGGUGUCUACGGACAACGCCGGCUCUUCGGAGCAGUACCUAUUGAUCUACUCACAUUUGCAUGUUUUCAAACUGCUAGGUUGGCAGAAGCUGGGGCUAACAGUGCGUGCUCACUCCGCUCCCCGGAUUCGAACCUGCGACCUUUCAGUCUGCAAGUUCAGCCCUUUAACCCGCUGCGCCUCCGGUAGCCCAUUUUGAGGGGUUACACUUUUGCAAACCAUCUCUCUUCAAAUCUACAGAACUUUUAAAAAAUAACUUUUCAAAGUUCCACUUUAAAUAACUGGAAACUAACCACAAAAUCAGUGAGGAUCCCAAAAUGUACUGGACUUAACGUCAGAGGAAACUUUUACCUUUACCUAUAUUACUAUGAAAACUAACAAAAUCUGGCUACCAAUAUUUAAAAAAACUCCAAAAUCAGAACAGUAAAUAAGGAGCAGCACUCUGAAAACAGAAGAAUUCCAGACAGGAAUCAAUCAGGGGCAGCUAAUGACUCUGAACAAAGGAUGUGAGACAAGCUGGAAAGCGUCCAGAGGAGGGCAACUAAAAUGAUCGAGGGUCUGGAGAAAUGGAGAUGAGCACCAAAAUCGGACACAACUAGACUUAAUAUCAAGGGGAAACCUUUACCUUUAGCGAGUGAACACCUCAGUAUGGAUGGUCUCUGAAGCCAACUGAGAACAUUUCGGGAUAUUUUUAUAUAACAACUCCCUCCAAAUCCCUCAGGUGAUCCUAGAAAUUGUCAUCCCAAAAACUAACUUUUCCAAGCAGUGUUCUGCAGCCGCACCGCAAGCCUGCUCUGUUUUCUGCGCAUGCAACAGGGAGCCACGAUUGGCCACAGCUCCCCAGGCGCAUGUACAAAGCUUGAAACACAUUUGCGCUAAUAUCCCCUUUUGAAAUGUAACAGUUGUCAGUACAGGAACAUGUUGCAAUUUCAGAG
rnacentral:lncRNA from 1 species